rnacentral:lncRNA from 1 species
GGAAAAUAGCUGGAUUGAAUGAAAUUUCUAUUUUUAGUUUUUUGAAGAAUCUCCAUACUUCCAACUGGUAUUUUAAGUAACAAAAAAUAGCAAACCGUUCCAAGCAUUAUGGUUGUUGUGGGGAGUUAAAUAAAACAUCGUCCGAGAAGAAAAUAAAGAUGCGUUUAUAGAGAAAAACUUGGACACUGGUUUCCAUUUAUGGAAACUACAGAGAUUUAAGAGAAAGCUGUACAGGGAAGACCCUUCUCAGAGUGACACAGGUACAAAUGUGUCUUAGAUAGAGGACUCCAACCGUGGCGCAGAGGAUGAAGUGUGAAGAGAGACAAGGUCUGACAGGAGGCACGAGUCACCUCUGCUGCAGAAAGGAUGAAGAGGAGCUGCAUGAAGCAGCUAUGGAAGUAUCGAUGCCCUUCUAAGACACUAAAGAACCACCAUGUGGAUGGGACCUUGUGGAAUUUAGUCUUCCUAUCUACAAAGGUUAGACUUGGCACCGAUGAUAGGAUAAGGCGGCUGGACUUGAGGAGAGGCGGGGGACAGGAUCAUCUUGAUGAUGCUAAUUUGCUGCCUGAGACUCUUCUGUGAGAAAAAUUUUACACCUAAGCUCAGGCUUACUGGAAGGACUGAUUAGUCGCAUCUGCCACGAAGGAGACACAUGUGCUGCUGCAUUUCUGAUUGCCGUUAGCCAGACCAUCAUUAAGAUUCCGCCCAGGGUCAACCCAUUUUCUGGUCCCCCUUCUGUCUCUCUUAGAAG